rnacentral:lncRNA from 1 species
CCACAACAUAUUUAAACUAAUUAUACUACUAAUAGGCUCCAGUACAUCUCAACAUCGACCAUCGAAGAUUGAGAAAGUUAAAAAUAGUUUACUUCUACAACACACAAACUGAAAACAUGAAAAAUCUAGUUCUCCUUGAGUACACUGCGAAAGUUUUUCACAACUCUCCUCCUCUUCAUUCACCACUAUCUUCCGUGACUCUGUCACCUGCGUGAAUGGUUAAGUU